rnacentral:lncRNA from 1 species
CAAGAAGAGCAUUCCAUUGGCUUUGCUGUGUUACUGUGCCAUUGUCUCAACAGACAGGCAAAAACUCUACCUUGGUUUCUCAGGAAAUGGAAAUAAGUGGUGAGGUUGGAGUUUCCUGCUUCCAAGAAAAUUUUUUGGAUGGUGUCAGGGUGAACACUGGGGUGUUGUGGAUUUCUUUUCCUCGGGGAACACUAGGAAAAGCCAUAAAGAAAAUGAUCGCCUACUCCUCCUAUGGAAAAAGGAGGCUAAUUCUGUCCCUGGCUGUCAUCAACCCCAGCAUGGACUGUGCAGGUCCCACCCUCCCGACGCUGGAGUUGGAGUCCUGUACAGGCACUUGGAUAAAAUGCUACGCCAAGUCUCACAUCCUGACAGGAGGUUCAGGCCCAGCAGUUUCUCUCAGAAGGAGCAAUGAAAAUAUAAAUAAGUCACAAAAUGGUCAAAAGGAAGAGGAAGGAAGCAAACGACAAGAAGGACAAAAAUAAAGGGUGGCU